rnacentral:piRNA from 1 species
UAAAGGAUAAUGCAAAGAACGAUUGAGCAA